rnacentral:rRNA from 1 species
GAUGAACGCUGGCGGCGUGCCUAAUACAUGCAAGUCGAACGAAACUUCUUUAUCACCGAGUGCUUGCACUCACCGAUAAAGAGUUGAGUGGCGAACGGGUGAGUAACACGUGGGCAACCUGCCCAAAAGAGGGGGAUAACACUUGGAAACAGGUGCUAAUACCGCAUAACCAUAGUUACCGCAUGGUAACUAUGUAAAAGGUGGCUAUACUACCGCUUUUGGAUGGGCCCGCGGCGCAUUAGCUAGUUGGUAGGGUAAAGGCUUACCAAGGCAAUGAUGCGUAGCCGAAUUGAGAGGUUGAUCGGCCACAUUGGGACUGAGACACGGCCCAGACUCCUACGGGAGGCAGCAGUAGGGAAUCUUCCACAAUGGGCGAAAGCCUGAUGGAGCAACGCCGCGUGGGUGAAGAAGGUCUUCGGAUCGUAAAGCCCUGUUGUUAGAGAAGAAAGUGAGUGAGAGUAACUGUUCACGUUUCGACGGUAUCUAACCAGAAAGCCACGGCUAACUACGUG